AUUCAUAUAGUUUAAUAAAACCUUACAUUUUCAUUGUAAAAUUGGGCUAUAGCCCUAUGAAUA
rnacentral:tRNA from 1 species